GAUGAACGCUGGCUGCGUGCCUAAUACAUGCAAGUCGAGCGAACGGACGAGAAGCUUGCUUUUCUUAUUUUAGCGGCGGACGGGUGAGUAACACUUGGAUAACCUACCUAUAAGACUGGGAUAACUUCGGGAAACCGGAGCUAAUACCGGAUAAUAUUUUGAACCGCAUGGUUCAAAAGUGAAAGACGGUCUUGCUGUCACUUAUAGAUGGAUCCGCGCUGCAUUAGCUAGUUGGUAAGGUAACGGCUUACCAAGGCAACGAUGCAUAGCCGACCUGAGAGGGUGAUCGGCCACACUGGAACUGAGACACGGUCCAGACUCCUACGGGAGGCAGCAGUAGGGAAUCUUCCGCAAUGGGCGAAAGCCUGACGGAGCAAAGCCGCGUGAGUGAUGAAGGUCUUCGGAUAGUAAAACUCUGUUAUUAGGGAAGAACAUAUGUGUAAGUAACUGUGCACAUCUUGAAGGUACCUAAUCAGAAAGCCACGGCUAACUACGUG
rnacentral:rRNA from 1 species